rnacentral:rRNA from 1 species
AGUGAGCGCUGGCGGUAGGCCUAACACAUGCAAGUCGAACGGCAGCACAGUAAGAGCUUGCUCUUACGGGUGGCGAGUGGCGGACGGGUGAGGAAUACAUCGGAAUCUACUUUUUCGUGGGGGAUAACGUGGGGAAACUUACGCUAAUACCGCAUACGACCUACGGGUGAAAGCAGGGGAUCUUCGGACCUUGCGCGAUUGAAUGAGCCGAUGUCGGAUUAGCUAGUUGGCGGGGUAAAGGCCCACCAAGGCGACGAUCCGUAGCUGGUCUGAGAGGAUGAUCAGCCACACUGGAACUGAGACACGGUCCAGACUCCUACGGGAGGCAGCAGUGGGGAAUAUUGGACAAUGGGCGCAAGCCUGAUCCAGCCAUACCGCGUGGGUGAAGAAGGCCUUCGGGUUGUAAAGCCCUUUUGUUGGGAAAGAAAAGCAGCAGGUUAAUACCCCGCUGUUCUGACGGUACCCAAAGAAUAAGCACCGGCUAACUUCGUG